UACGUAGGGUGCGAGCGUUAAUCGGAAUUACUGGGCGUAAAGCGUGCGCAGGCGGUUUUGUAAGCCAGAGGUGAAAGCCCCGGGCUUAACCUGGGAAUGGCAUUUGGGACUGCAAGGCUGGAGUGUGGCAGAGGAGACUGGAAUUCCUGGUGUAGCAGUGAAAUGCGUAGAUAUCAGGAGGAAUACCGAUGGCGAAGGCAGGUCGCUGGGCUGACACUGACGCUCAUGCACGAAAGCGUGGGGAGCAAACAGG
rnacentral:rRNA from 1 species